rnacentral:rRNA from 1 species
CCCUUAGAUGUCCUGGGCCGCACGCGCGCUACACUGAUGCCUUCAACGAGUGACCUUAGCCGAGAGGCCUGGGCAAUCUUUUGAACGUGCAUCGUGAUAGGGAUAGAUUAUUGAAAUUAUUAAUCUUGAACGAGGAAUUCCUAGUAAACGCAGAUCAUCAAUCUGCAUUGAUUACGUCCCUGCCCUUUGUACACACCGCCCGUCGCACCUACCGAUUGGAUGGUCCGGUGAAGCCUCGGGAUUGUGGUUCUUGCCGCUUUAUUGUGGCGUGACCGCGAGAACUUGUCUAAACCUUAUCAUCUAGAGGAAGGUGAAGUCGUAACA